UACGUAGGUGGCGAGCGUUGUCCGGAAUUACUGGGUGUAAAGGGAGCGCAGGCGGGAAGCCAAGUCAGCUGUGAAAACUACGGGCUUAACUUGUAGACUGCAGUUGAAACUGGUUUUCUUGAGUGAAGUAGAGGUUGGCGGAAUUCCGAGUGUAGCGGUGAAAUGCGUAGAUAUUCGGAGGAACACCGGUGGCGAAGGCGGCCAACUGGGCUUUAACUGACGCUGAGGCACGAAAGCGUGGGUAUCGAACAGG
rnacentral:rRNA from 1 species